GUCAGACUUUAUAAACAGAGUUGCGUAGCAAGUUAACACGCCCAGCAGCAUUACGAGUGGUGAAAUAUAGAAAUAUAUACCUCUAUCUGUGUGUGGAAAUACGAAACACUGCUGCUAAACAGGGAUUAGAGACCCCUUUAUACAAGUGCGCAACAUACUUUGCGGAGUACUACAACUAUCAGAGUUAAAACUCAAGCAACAUGGCGGUAAUUUCAACUCAGGGGAACUUACCUAGUAAUUGAUAACCACCAAGGUUAACCAACUGUGGAACAAUCUUGUAUGCCGUCGUCGUCAGGUAGCACUUGAUGUUCUACCACGAGAGCUAAUCUAAAAAGACAGAUCAAGGUGCAGACAAUUCCGCAGAAAAGGCGAGUUACAGUUUUCACUAUUAUCGGAUGAACUAUGUAAUUAGCAUUGAAGGGGGACUUGACAGUAAUAAAAAUUACCAAUAUUUUAUGAAUCCUCUGGGAUGUGACAA
rnacentral:rRNA from 1 species